UAUUUAUCUAAUGGAAAUCCCACUAUCCUUAAAUUAGAACAUCUAAAUUUAGUCCGGCGAAGAUUUCCAGAAAAUUACUUCUCAAGAAUUUCAAACCACAGUCGCUACCUAACUGUAUUGUAGAGGAAUUGUUUAAAACCGAUUAACACGUCACACAAGAUGCGCAGCGAAAAGGAAACUUGCUUCUUAUUGUUCAUGAUGGUUUCUGAAACUGUUGAUCUUAUUUUGGACUGGGAUUUUGCAUACGAAAUAGCCCAAAGCACUGAUCCAAAUGUGCAGAGUACUAAAUAUUGGAUCUUAGGAUUUGCCAUUUGGGGGACCUUAUUGUAUUUAACAAUAAUCGUUUUUCUGUGUUGCGAUCUUUGUAAUGGCGACGACGAAGAGCAUCCAUGUAUGGCGUCUCUUUCUCUACUGUCGACCGUCACAGAGGACAUGCCACAAAUCGUCCUCGCUAUCACUGUUGCAAGACAUACGACACAUCUGAUAUCUGUGGUUCAAAUCUUGAAGGCUGUGUACGGAAUAAUUGAGCCUCUUGUAAGAGCAAUAAAAUUAUCAUGCGACAGAAAACACAGUAAGAAAACGUUCCGAAGUCCUACUCAUGAUAACGAAUGUCAGAAAUGUUUUGAUAUGAUCUGCAGUUCCAUUCUGUGCGUCUGCUCUAUUGCUCUCUUUUUUAUGGUUUUGGCAAUUCGAUAAAUUUGAAAUUUUAAUUUCAAUCUGGCCAGAAUCAGUUGAAUUACCGCUGUUUUUGCAUCUCUGGCAUGGUUUGUCUUUUUGCCCUUGUCUUGAUAUUUGUUUAUAAUUGUUUUAACAUUUAAUAAAAAUGUUAGUGUACUGA